rnacentral:misc_RNA from 1 species
AAGUCGUAACAAGGUUUCCGUAGGUGAACCUGCGGAAGGAUCAUUAACACAAGUAAAAAAACAUUUUACAACACCCUAUUAUGAAUUUAAAUUUUUUAAUUUUAAUUUUUUUUAUAAAACUACAUUUAAUUUAUUUGACUAACAUUUUUUAAUUAAUUUAUUUAAAAUUUUAUAAAACAACUCUUAACAACGGAUAUCUUGGCUCUC